rnacentral:rRNA from 1 species
GAGUUUGAUCUUGGCUCAGAUUGAACGCUGGCGGCAGGCCUAACACAUGCAAGUCGAGCGGUAGAGAGAAGCUUGCUUCUCUUGAGAGCGGCGGACGGGUGAGUAAUGCCUAGGAAUCUGCCUGGUAGUGGGGGGAUAACGCUCGGAAACGGACGCUAAUACCGCAUACGUCCUACGGGAGAAAGCAGGGGACCUUCGGGCCUUGCGCUAUCAGAUGAGCCUAGGUCGGAUUAGCUAGUUGGUGAGGUAAUGGCUCACCAAGGCGACGAUCCGUAACUGGUCUGAGAGGAUGAUCAGUCACACUGGAACUGAGACACGGUCCAGACUCCUACGGGAGGCAGCAGUGGGGAAUAGUGGACAAUGGGCGAAAGCCUGAUCCAGCCAUCGCCGCGUGUGUGAAGAAGGUC